CCCGUCUCGAUUAGGGUUAUAAUUAAAAUCCAUCUACACCGUCGAAGCGUUACGCGCCCGAAUCACAGCCCUUAUUUGGGUCAGGGGACGUCUCCGUCUCUGUAAAUCCCGGCGAAGAUCGACGCCUAUUUCGCAGCCGCGAUCGCGUCGCCGCCUUCUUUCCUGUCGUCCUUUCGGUUGGCCUCCCUCCCGUGCCUCCGCCUCCGCCUCCGCCUCUGGUCGGGGACUUCGCUCAGCUUCCUGGUUCUGGUUAUCUGAUGGCUGGCGGUAAUUUCUUGGGAAGAGUCAUCAGCUACGUCGUCAACGAGUUGGUCGUGGAAGGCCUCGCUAACAACCGUGCCUUUCAAAGGUUUGCCGUGAGAACUUCUAAAGCUAUAGAAGAUGUUUCUACUAAAGCUGCUCAGGCAAGAGAACGACUUGUUGCGCAACUGAAGGAUGCCACAAAAGAUGAUGAUUCCUUCAGGAGGCCUUGAAUACUUAAGAAGGUUCUUGUUAGAUCCAUGAAGUCAUAUUGUGAAGCUGUGUUAUGCCAGUAGACCAUGAUUUGUGCAGCCGCAGAAAGAAAUGCUUGUGGUGCUAUACCUGCUCGAUAGUUUUGUUCGUAUCACGGUCUCUUUACUGUAAUAGGUGCAAUAAAGUGUCAGAAAUUGAUGUAGUAAUACAAGUUCUUUUGCAACAUAAGAUGGUGGCAAUGAAAUUGCUACCAUGUGUUAUUCUUUUUCUUUUC